rnacentral:lncRNA from 1 species
UCCGCACCUGGCAAACCUCGAAAAGUAGGUAAUGGCGCGACACUAGUUGUGAACAGAAAUUAACCCCCCUUAGUGAAGAGGCUAAUUCUAAUCACAAGAUCCUAAUUAUAGUCCAACCUUGGAAUUUUAUAACUUAUGUUGAUUUCCUAGUUAAUUGCUUAAUUCAUUAAUCUAAUUUCUAUCUUUAUCCUUAUGUUUAUCUUGAUUUUUUUAUUUAUUUUUAUUUUUAUUUUUAUUUUUUUUGUAGUUUUUUUUACUUAAAUCCUUCACCAUUCUUGAACCCUGGAAUUACCCAAUUGUGUCGCUUAAUUAUCAUUUAAUUAUUAUUUAAAUAUUUUUUAGUUUAUUUUAUUUAUUAUUUUUUUUUAAAUUCAUUUUUUUUUUAUUUUUAUUUUAUUUUAUUUUUAUUUUUAUUUUAUUAUUAUUAUUAUUUUUUUUUAUUUUAAUUUUUGGAUUAACCUUCCAACUUCAGUUGACUAUAUCCUUGCGAGUUUACGUCCGAAUUUAAAGUUUUUUACGUCUAAUGUUAUUAAAUUCAAUAAUCAACUUGAUGGGACAGCAUGCCUUCACUUCAUGCCUCAUGUUCAAUGUCAACUAGACUGUGAGCACUCAACUUCCAAGGAGGAUACAUUCAGAUUCAAGACCAUACAACUACCAAGAUUGCAUGGAAUUCAUGACUUGUCACGCAAGGGGAGAUCCAAGGAUUUUGACCUAAUCCUAAGCAAUUUGGCCAGCGCUUCCGCGUCAAUCGGAAAUUCCGGUUCUGGCACUACAACUCCUAGCAGCUCAACUGUGCAUCACCAACCAUCAUCAAUUGAAGGGAAAAGAGGAAGGAAGUUGGUAACCUCCUUAGCUACCAAGGUCAUGAUUCUGGUUGUGGCUGCAACCCUCCUCGCACUAGUCGCCUCCGCUCUCUCCACCCCUACCCCGCUGCUGCUUGUUUUCCUCAGGCGUCUACACAGGCCUUGCUGACGGCCUCACGGUGGCCUUCUCUCUUCUUUUCUUUAUUUUUCUUCCACCUCAAUUAUUGGGUUGCUCCUCCAACUUAUGACUUGCGGUUCUUUUGUCUAUUUAUUUAUUUAUUUAUUUAUUUCCUCAUGGCCUUUGGAAUAGUCAAGGACCUUAAGAAAUCAAUUACUUCUUAUCCAUUAGAUAUAACCAUGAAUUGUUCGGAAUUUAUCUAAUCAAGGGCCCCUAAGGAAUUUACAAAUUCCGAGAGUUGAUUUAGGUUUUAAAUUCGUUAAUUGUAAGACAAUUAGAUGGGUCAUAAUUUUAGUGUCGCGACAAAAUUUGUUAUUGUGGUCAUAGGCCGAUUUCAUGUGGUUGCUUUUACUAAACCCUUCUUAAUAUUUAAGUUUUUCCUUCACUGUGUUGAAAACACAUGAUGGAUUCGGGGUUUUGAUGGUGAAAAUAAGUCUCCACCCUUUUGAAUUAGGUUGUAUUCCGUUAGAUUCUUAAUUUAUGAUUUUUUCCUUGCUCCUAACUUGUGAGAACUCGUUCUAAACAUAAUUUAAACCCCUUAGUCACAAUUUAUUGGCUUGUAACUAUCCUAAUCACUCUCCUCGGUGCUAACUAAUCCUAAUUGGUGGUUUUUUUCACUCAAGUUACUAUGCGAGCCAAUUCUUUGGCUCACAUAUAUGGCGAUCAUGUAGGACAACUCGAAGAGGUAGAGAACUCAGUGCCAUGGCCCUAUCAAAUUUAUUGGGCACACGGUUUUUUUUUUUUUUUUUUUUUUUUUUGAGCCUACUUGUGGGGAAUUCUCCGCAUGAGUGUAUUCCAAUUAAAAGACAAGGUGCUCUAAUUGUAACAUUACUUCAUGCUAAGAAUUAGAUUUCGAAAAUCUUCCUAAUAAAGAUUUUAAGGAAUGGAUACUCAAUUUUCCCAUCACUUCACGUUUUGUAUUCCUUCAAUCUAUUGCCUGACGUACGGGUAGGAAAUAAUUCUCCAUUCAAUGUCUCCAAUUGCACUGAAUUGUUUGGAAAAACGUCGUGCAUCAAAUAUGGACCUAGCCAUAAAGCGUCAAAUUUUCCUGGGAAGUCUAACCGUCUAGCAUCUUGGAGGAGUAUUAGCAUGCCUGGUUGGAGAAUACGAACCUUGUGGCGUUUAUCAAAAGCCACUUUCUUUCGUCGUUGAAUAGCCUCAACGUGUUGGGUGCUAAUCAUUCUAGCCUCAUCUAAGGCUUCCAAUCGCUCUAAUCGCUCUUUUAGUGAUUGAUUAGUGGACAUGUGGGCAUUCAUAGCAAUGCGAAGGGAUGGGACCUCAAACUCAAUGGGCAAAAUUGAUUCUACCCCGUAAACUAGAGAGAAUGGCAUCGCUCUAGUGGUCACUUUGUAUGUAGUUCGGUAAGCCCAUAGUGCAGCCACAAGCUUUUUGUCCUAGUCCUUCUUAGAGUCCAAGACGGUUUUCCUCAAGACGUUAACCAACGUUUGGUUCACGCGUUCGGUAUGGCCAUUAGUUUGGGGAUGGUAGGAUGUGGUUUUGCGGUGAUCAAUCUGGAACCGUUGUGUUAACUUCUCAAUCAUCUCGUUCAAAAAAUGUCUUUUGCUAUCGCUAAUGAGGACCUUGGGACACCCAAACCUAGCGAUGAUAUGCUCAAAUAAAAAAUUGGCUGCACUUGAGGCAUCAUUGGUUUUAACUGCCUUGACCUCUGCCCAUUUGGUUAAAUACUCCGUGGCCACGACGAUAUGUUUCAUGCCGCUAGAGGAAGAAGGAUGGAUCUCUCCAAUGAAAUCAAUACCCCAUUUCUCAAAGGAAACUAAAGGUAAUAUUGGGUUCAAGGGAAGUGACAUAUGCAAGUCAUUUCUCGCAUAUCGUUGACAGGCAUCACAUUUUUUGGCAUGGGCAUGGGCAUCUCGAAAUAACUCAGGCCAAUAGUAUCCAGCUCUCAAAAUCUUUUGCCCCGUAAGUUGCCCUGAGAAGUGUCCUCCGCAAGCACUAUCGUGACAGGCUACUAGGAUAGCAAGAAUUUCAGAAGCAUUGACACAUCUUCUCAAAAUGCCAUCGAUACCACGACGGUAGAGGCUACCACCUAACAACGCAAAAUGCCUACUAUUAACCCGAAUCUUCCUUCUCUCAUUCUUUGAUAAAUCUAGUGACAGUUAUUGAGUUGCAAGGAACUCCGAAAUGUGGUUAUACCACAAUGGGCUUGCAGAGAUGAUGAACAAGUUUUCCAUUGGAAUUUCAUCGUUAAUUGGUUCGGCAUCCAACUCUGUAGAGAGUCUAGACAAGUGAUCUGCCUGCUUGUGCAUUCUGCCUGAUUUACAUUGCACCGUGUAGUCAAAUUCUUUGAGGAGAAGAACCCAUCGAGCAAGUCUCCCACUCAACUCUAGUUUGUUCACUAAAUACUUGAUGGCCAUGUGGUCUACAAAGAAUACUACGGGGUUAAGCAACAAAUAAUGGCGAUACUUCUUUACUGAGAAGACCAUUGCCAAGCACUCUUGCUUCGUAGUAGUAUAAUUUCGCUCGCCGAUGCUUAAUUGCUUGCUAGCAAAUGCCACUGGAAGAUCCUUGCCAUCAGGUCCAAUGGGCUGACACAAUGUACUACCUACUGCCACUCCAGAAGCGUCACAGUAGACAUCGAAGGGAACAUUCCAAUCUGGUGCUCUAACCACUGAAUAAGUGCUCAAGUGUCCCUUCAAAACAUCGAAGGCCGUUUGACAUUCUGAAGUCCAUUCAUACUUAGAGGUCUUCUUGAUCAAAUUGGUCAAGGGGGCAGAAAUAGAGGCAUAGUCUUGUAUUAAAUCCCUAUACCAUCCCAUAUGGCCUAAUGUCCGUUGCAUGCCUUUAACUUCAGUAGGUGGUUUCAGAUUGACAAUGACUUCCACCUUUUCUGGAUCAGGUUCCUUGCCUUGUGCUGAGACAAUGUAUCCCAGCAACACUCCGCGAACCACAGCCAGAUAUAAUUUUUCUGGAUUAAGGAAAAUUCCUACUUGUCUACAACGUUUAAAACUCUCCCUAACGGCUGCUAAAUGAUCACUUGCUGAGGUUUGGGUACUAAAGUCAUCGAUAAAAACCGUCAUAGACUUAUGUAGCAAGUCCGAAAAUACAUAGGUCAUUGCCCUCUGAAAUGCAGAUGGAGCGUUACAAAGACCAAAAGACAUGUCUAAGUAGAUGAAGGUGCCCCAUGGUGUAGUGAAAGCGGUUUUAUGAUGAUCCUCAGGUGCUAUAGAAAUCUGGUUGUAGCCUGAGUACCCAUCCAUAAAGGUGUACAAUUCAUGGCCUGCUACCUCAUCGAGUAUAGUGUUUACAAAAGGCAAGGAAAAAUGGUCCUUUUGGGUAUAUUUGUUUAAGGUUCGAUAGUCAAUACAUAGUCGAAGUUUGCCAUUUUUCUUUUUCACCAAUACCAUUGGUGAAACCCAAUCAGUUAUUUCUACCGGUUUGAUGAACCCCGCUUGUAGUAGCCUCUCCAACUCAACCUUCACGAUCAAUUGCAAGUUGGGAUUCAUCCUCCUUUCCUUCUGCCUUACUGGUAUGGCCCCAAGAAUCAACGGAGUGGUGUGUUGAGCUAUCUUAGGGGGAAUUCCCUUUAAAUCUUUGUAUGACCAUGCAAAGAUAUCACGAUAUUCCAUUACCAAUGCCUUAUAUUUCAAGGCCUCGUCACUGGUCAAUUGUGAUCCAAUCUUGAUGGGUUUUGGAUCCUCGCCAUCCAAGGAAACAUCUAAACUUUUCCAAUCUGAAGGCUUGGCAUAGUCUAACUUGGUUGGUCCACGAUACCAGUCACUUGGGAUUGGUGGAUAGAUGGAUAAGUCGGUGCCUAUAUCUAAUCCUCGGUUGAUCUUCCUCACAUGGAGGGGUGGUAGAAGAUCCUUCUCCUUCAGCAAGGUGUCUAUAUCUUCGAAUUGUGUGCCAUCUAUGGUUAGGUGACACACAUCCUCAUAUAUAAUGUCAUCUAUCACUAUCGCGAGGCCUGGGUAGCCAUCUUCGAGUUCUCUCAUUGAUGCUUCGAUGUAACAAGUGGUAUGUUCUAGAUCUAAAUGAGGGUUGUCUUCUAACCAUUGAGCAAAUUGGCCAUCAUCCUUCCAAUCAUAUAGACCCGGUCCUAUGCAGCCUGACACGUGGUGGGUUAUAUCAAGCAACUGUGGUUCACUACCAGUCCCAGGCUUUUUCAUCUGAGCUUGUCUUUGGAUAUUCGGCGUGGUAACUGAAAUUGGCAUCUCAUUCCCCGUAGAUUGUGAUGGUUCAGAAUCAUCACUUAUUUUAAUCGAUUGGAUACGAACUUUAGUGAGAUUAUCGGAAGGGCCAUAAAAGAUGUGGGGCUUAUUACCUCCCUAGUCUACUUUUGCACUUGCUGCUGUUAACCAUGGCCGACCUAACAAGAGUGGAAAUGAACCCUUAUUCGAAUACAUUCGAAUAACAUGGAAAGUGAGAAGAUAUUCUUCACCACCCGUGGAUACCUUGUAAUCCUUAAUCAAACCGAGUGGUGCCUCAGGCCUCUGAUUAGUCAUAUUGAUGACAAAAGAUGAUGGUCCUGUGAGUUCGAGGCCUAGUUUUUCCAUUGUUUACAAAGGCAUGAUGUUUAGGCUGCUACCUCCAUCUACUAAGGCAUUGGGGAUAAUUUUAUCCAUGAUGGAGACUUCGAUCUCCACUGCCUUCACAUCCACGAGUUUCCUACUAGUUUGCAUCCUUGCAGCCACCUUGACCUUAGCUUUCCUACGGCAUUUGAUUGAGGUCUCGAGUUUUAGUAUUUUCCUAGCUAUUGGUGAAAUUUCCAAGAAUUGGGUAAUAGUGAUAUCUGCCUUGAUCCUACCCAAGUCCGCCCACAAGUCAUAUGCACCUAAUUCAGAUUGGGCCUGAGUCUUAGAUGGCUGGAUCAACUCUAAUUUGGGGAUUGCUGGGCCUUUCCAAUCACAAGUGUCAGGUUUGAUACUUGGUUCACCAUCAUGGUCUCUAAGUUGGAAGGGUAAGUCUCCUAUUAGUGGAUCAAAUUCUAAAGUCUCUUCACCUCUAUUGUUAAUUGUCUCUUUGGUCUUCCUAGCAAUGUCUUCCAACUCUGAAAGACGAGGCGGACUUUCAGUGAGGGAUUCCUCUUCCUCUAAUACUGAUGGCAUGUUGGCCGCUCUAGACCUAGUCAUAAUUGCUAAGGCAGGCUUCAUGGGUGGAUUCAACAUCUUGGGUUGGAGCAAUUCAUGCCUAAUCAAAUUUGACUCGGGAGGUAUUGGUUGGAUUACUAUCGAAGAAGUAGACGAUUGCCUAUCAAUCAUUCCGCUAUUGGUUUGGUUUAUAAACCUUGCAUCUUGGGAGCCUUGGCCAACAUUUGCUUGAUUUUGAAUAAAUGGCCCACGGUUUUGAUUUUGAUUCAUUGGAAGGAACCCUCUGUUGAUUUGGAGUCUAGUAGGAGGAUGAUGGUUCUGUCUAUUAUUAUUGUAGUCAUAAUAAAGGUUUGGGGGUUGCAAGGUAUUGUUGUGCGGUGGCUGCCUCUCUCCUCUACGAUUAUCAUAGCCUUGUUGCACAUAAUUUCCAGGUGGAGGUUGAAGAGGGAAUACCUUGUCUCGUUUCCUACACUUGUUUGUGGGGUGAUUGCCUCCACAGUUUCCACAAACAACUUGGCUCUCUAGCCAGCAACUGCGAGGUACAUGGUAAUUACCACAAAAGGCAUGGUAUUCUGGUCUCGGCCUAUAUUGACUACUAGGACCCUGGUUAGAAAAUUGGUUGAUUUGUUGCCCAUAAUUAGGAAGUUGGAUAAUUUGAGCUCUAUGAGGUGGUAUGUAUGAUUGUUGCACUUCGGACUGUUGAUUUUACGAUGGAUUCUCAUUGCAAAAUUGAAAUGUAUGCCCUGGCUGACCACAUCUAGUACACCACAAGCCUGAAGAGUGAUUCUCAGACUCGAUGGGAGGGAGAGGAGGGUUAAAGUUUUGGAUUCUAGCCAAUGCUGCCAUCUGGUCCGUCAUUAGCUUCAUUUGUUGUGAUAUCUGAUCUUGGAAGCCUUGUUGAACGGAUUGCAUCUCUCUUUUCAUUUCUUCUCUCCAAUUUUUCUCAGGGAAUGUAAGAACAGGGAGUGCGGCAGGCAACCUAGUAUCUAAGAGAGUUGGAUACUGCUGCAUGGAAUGAAGAGGCAUAGCUAUCGAUGGUUGGUUAGAAUUUAAGGAAGAUCCUGUGCCUUGGGCAUGAAUGGGGAUAAAGUUAGGGAUAUUCUGGUCUUCUUUCCUCCAUAUUCGAUCAUGUUCUUUGUUAAUUUGCUCUAUCACCCUAGCGGCCCUUUUAGCAUCAGCCAAGGUUUGUGGUCGGGAAUUCAAGAUUUCCCGUAUCGUGGUUUCUUUUGAAAAACCUUGGAUGAAGAAAUUUUUCAAAGUGUCAUCCGUAAGAAGGGUGCUUACAAACCUCGUCACUACCAAUUCAAACCAUCAAAUGUAGGAGGUAAUAUCCUCAUCUUUUCCCUGUCUAAAUGAGGAUAAUGCAGUCAAUGCUGCACUUUGAUCAACCUCAGGCCGAAAUUCCUCUAAGAAUGCUCGUUGGAGCAUGUCCCAAUCUACGAAGGUAUUGGCAGGGUGAUUUCGGUACCACUCAUACGCGCCCUCUUUUAGUGUGGUUGGAAACCAAACUAAGAAAUACCGUACAUCGGUUAUGAGGCAUGUGGUUAAGAUUUCGAUGAAUCGCUCAACAUGAGCAGAAGGAUAUUCAUCCCUUGUACCUUUAAAUAAAGGUAGAUGCGGGGGAAUAGAAGCAAUUGGUAAGCCACCUAGCACUACAAUAGGUAAUCUCCAUGGUUGGACCAGGGGGUUGAUAGGUAUUCCUAGGAGACCUCCCCCACCCGUAGAUGCACCUCCAGAAGCCAUUGGGAUUAAAAGAUUCCUUGGUCUAGGUUGAUUUGGCGAGAGGAUACUAAUUGGGUUUUCUAAUUCCCUAGAAUAGUUAGUUGUUGAAUUGUGGGUCAACUCGGAUUGAUCUAAUAUAACCUCAAUGAAGUCGCCAAUUGGAUUGUCUAAGUCUUCAGAAAAUUCAAGUUGAUUGUCAAGAUGCAAAGGUUCCCUAAGUUUUGAAGGAAUUCCCUGAGGUUGAUUUGGUUUUCCUAAGGGUGGUGUUAAAACCAGUUUUUGGGACCUAGUUGCUUUAUGCAUCUAAUUUCACAAGGCCUUAAGGGUGAACAUUCUAAAGAUUGAUUUCAUCGCUUCUUACCUAAGUGGUUGGUCACAUCAGAAGAGAAGGAAGGACCGACCUUGUCCCAUACCCGUUCACCUAGCUCUUCCUCUUCGGCUAAGGGGCUCACUGCCUUCUGGCGUGGAAGGGCCUCAACCUUUCACCCCUUAGCUUCUUAAAUGACUUAAUGCCCAAGAUGUUAGGGACAUAGUCUUUAGACCUUUCUAGAGACAAGUUUCUAGAACUUUCUAGAAAGAAGUCUCUAGAAACUUCCAAAAGAUUCCUUGAAUAUUCUCUUAGAAUAUUCUUUAAAGAUUUCCUAAAGAUUCUUUGAAGAUUCCCUAAAGAUUCCCUUAGAAGGCUCUAGAAGAUUCUUAGAAUAUUCUAAUAGAUUCUAGGAAGUUACUUGAGAAGCUUCCUAGCUCUUGGGUAGUUGCUCAAGAAGCUUCAUAGUUCUUGGGAAGCUUCUUGAUGCGCUUCCUUAGAACCAUAGGCCAGUAGUAUAUAUAGGAGUCGAGGCUGAAGAGUUCUUCAGUCUCGACAACACAUCUCUUGAAGCUCUAGCUCAAUUCUCUUGGCGUUGCUCUUGUACUCAUCUGAUAAUCUAAUUCUUGUCAUUUUUUCUUGAACUUCUUGUUUAGAUUUCUUGUUUGUAUUUUUGGUCCGUGACAGUUUGUCGAGACUACCUUUAUCUUAGUAUCAGAGCUGAAUCCUUCUUGUUUGAGAGCGGAUUACCCCUCUUCUUGAAGGUAUUCUAGCGCUUUAGAGGUUGCGGAUUACCUUCCUAUAAACUGAUAUUUUCUCAAUCACAAUAUCAGAGCUUAGUUCUUUGAGGCAGAGAGUGGACUACCCCUUUCCUUGGAGAUACUUGAGCGUUUUAAGGGUUGCAGAUUACCCUCUCUUGGACUGAUAUUAUUCCCUUCUUUUUGUUUAGCAUAGCUAGUGAAAAAGACUGUUAACAUCGAUUUCAGAGCUUUGUCUUCUUGAUAGAGUGCGGAUUACCCCUCUUCUCGAAAGCAUUGAGGCAUUUUUAGAGGUUGCGGAUUACCCUCCUCUAAAACUGAAAUCGUUUAGUGUUUUUUUUUCUUUUCUCCGAGUAGGUUUUAGUGACAAGUAGUGCUACAAUUUUCUCCAAGAGACUUAGCAAUUUCUUCUUCUCUCAAAAUUUUAAUCCAUCUAUUCUCUAAAUAUGGAAGUAGACCAGGUCAUAGAUAGUGCAUCUCCACAAGUAGACAAUAGAGUAGCAACUCUUGCAGAUCUUCAAGCUCUUAUGAAUAGUGUAUGAAAGGAGAUUGCAUUUCUUCGCAAUCCAAGUAAAGAACCUCAAAUUGAUCUAGUGACCGAAGAAACUAGACGCAAAAUUCAUAGCCUACAACAAGAGAUUAUUCGACUGAGAGAAGUAAGACAUGUGUCACAUACGACCCCUAUGGAUACUUCAAGGAUUAGUACGAAAGAACCAAAAGCGAGUAUGCCAGACAAGUUUGACGGAACAAGAGCCAACUUCCGAGGUUUUGUGCAACAAGUACGGCUUUACCUACGCCUAUACCCUUCUCGUUAUCCGAAUGGAUUUACCCAGGUUGCUUUCAUAGGUACUCUUCUAUCAGGAAAUGCUCGCUCUUGGUUUGCUCCACUAUUGGAGAAGGAUUCUCCAAUAUUGUACGACCUAGAGGCUUUCAUAGAGAGACUUACUGCUGCGUUUGGAGAUAGCGAUCGAGAAAGAGGGGUUGAAAGAAAGAUACAAAAUCUGCGACAAGGAUCACGUUCUGCUGCAAUCUAUGCUGCAGAAUUUCAACAGCUUACAUGUGAUCUUGAUUGGAAUGAUAAGGCGUUCAUGACACGAUUUCGAUAUGGACUGAGAGAUGAUGUCAAGAACUUAUUGAUCACCAUGCCUAAGGCGGAUACUUUAGAAGAACUUAUAUCUCACGCAAUUAUUUGUGACAACCGCCUCUUUGAAUUACGACAAGAAAGACGAUCAAGCUGGAGAAAUGAUGGAGCAUUUGCUACAUUUUCAAAAGGUCCAGAGAAUCACUCCACAGAUCCUGAACCCAUGCAAAUUGAUGCGGUACGUUUCAAACCCCUCACAGCUGAGGAAAGGAAGCGACGGUUUGAACAAAACUUGUGUUUAUAUUGCGGAGAAGCGGGCCAUAAAGCUGUAGAUUGUCGGAAGAAAUAGAAGCCUCAAACAACAAGACUCAGGAGUACAAGCAUGCAGGAAAACAAGGACGCCCAGCCACAAUAGGGACCGUGCGGCUGGACAUCUCAACAUCCAAAAUUAAUCAAGGUCCCUUUCUCUCAGCUCAACCUUCAGAUUGUUUUAUGGUACCUUUACAUCUGGGUAUUCAAGAACUACAAGUCGAUGCUUUAUUAGACUCGGAAGCAUCCGCUUGCUUUAUAGAUGAAGAGUUUGCCAAGCUUCACAAUAUUUCUCUUGUAAAGAAACUUAAGCCUAUCCAUGUAGAAGUCAUAGACGGACGACCAUUGUCUUCGGGCAAUGUUAUCCAUGAAACUAAACCAUUGAAGGUACGUCUUGAAAACCAUGAGAGCAAUAUUGUGUUUAAUGUUAUCAAGACCCCUUCAUGUCCUAUCAUUUUGGGAGUAUCUUGGCUUGAUAGAUAUAAUCCAUUGAUAGAUUGGAAGUUGCGAAAAGUGACAUUUCCAACAAACUCCUUGAAGGUGGAAUCUGCCAAGACAAUGUCUAGAAACAAAUCCUUGUUUAUAGGUGCAAGGGCUUUCAUGAAGGAAGCCAAGCAAAAUACACCUCUUGUCAUCUUCGCAACUCCGACUCGAGAAGAUGCAACUCCGACUUUGGUUAUUCCAAAGCAGUAUGAAGAAUUCAAAGAUGUCUUUGAAAAGAAGAAUGCUGAUAUGCUGCCAGAGCAUCGACCCUAUGACUGUGCCAUUGAAUUGCAAGAAGGAGCACAACCACCUUUUGGACCAAUCUACAAUUUGUGGCAGACGGAGUUGACUGAGUUGCGGAAGUACAUUCACGAGAAUCUAGCCAAGAACUUCAUCCGUCAUUCGAAGUCGCCAGCUGGGGCACCAAUCUUAUUUGUGAAGAAGAAGGAUGGCUCACUACGGAUGUGCGUGGACUAUCGAGGUCUCAACAAGGUGACAAAAAAAAAUUGCUACCCACUGCCUUUGUCCCUGGUCUUCAAGAACAACUUGGGCGUGCAAGGAUCUUUACAAAGAUUGACCUAAGGAGAGUUUACAACCUUGUGCGAAUUAAAGAAGGAGAUGAAUUGAAGACAGCGUUCCGAACAAGGUAUGGCCAUUUUGAAUACAAUGUCAUGCCAUUUGGUCUUACUAAUGCUCCAGCGGUCUUUCAACACAUGAUGAAUGACAUCUUUCGAGAGCAUCUAGACGAUUUUGUUGUCAUCUAUCUAAAUGAUAUUUUGAUAUUUUCUAAGAACGAGGAAGAACAUGAGAAGCACGUUCGUCUGGUACUCAAAAAACUACGGGAGCGAGGACUCUAUGCCAAAUUGGAGAAGUACUUAUUUCACCAAACUGAGAUAGAGUUUUUGGGAUUCAUCGCGACUACGGAAGGCUUGAAGAUGGAUCCAAAGAAGGUGGAAGCAAUCAUGUCUUGGAAAGUUCCGAAGACGGUUAGGGACGUACAAUGUUUUCUUGGAUUUGCUAACUACUAUCGGAUCUUUAUCAAGAAUUAUUCUCAAGUUGCUACCCCCCUCACUCAGUUAACGUGUAAAGACAAGCUCGAAUGGGGAUCUAUCGUAGAAAAAGCAUUUCAAGAUUUGAAGAUGGUAUUUACUACAGCUCCAAUCUUGGUACAUCCGGACUUUACAAAGGCCUUUUAUUUGGAGACAGAUGCUUCGGAUUUUGCUUUGGGAGCUGUACUUUCACAGAUGGGCGUAGAUGAGAAGCUCCAUCCAGUUGCGUUCUAUUCUCGAAAAUUCUCUGCUGCUGAGAUCAACUAUGAGAUCCACGAUAAGGAACUCCUUGCUAUAAUAGAUUCUUUCUAAGAGUGGCGCCAUUUUCUCGAAGGAACUGCACAUCCAGUGACUGUAUAUACGGAUCACAAGAAUUUGGAGUAUUUUAUGUCGGCUUGGGUUUUGAAUCGGCGUCAAGCUCGGUGGAGUAUGUCGCUAUCCAGGUUCGACUUUGUUAUUACUUAUCGGCCUGGGAAGCAACAAGGGUUGUCCGAUGCAUUCUCAAGGAGAUCAUAUCUCGCGCCAAAGGCUGGAGAUGCAGCAUUUGAUCAACAGUGCACGACAUUGUUGAAGCCAGAGAAAUUUCGGCUCAACGCAGCUAUUGUACCAAUUGAUGCUGACUUCCUCGACCAGGUACGGGCCGCAACCAUUGAAGAUUCUCUAGCCCUUGAUAUCAAGCAACAUGCUAGUGAUGAUAAAUUCAAGAUGGAAGGAGAUCUAGUAUAUUUCGAAGAGCGGUUGUAUAUCCCAAAAGGGCCAACACGACUCCGAGUUCUUCAAUCUCAUCAUGACUUUCCAGCUGCGGGACAUUUUGGAUUCAAUAAGACCUUGGAACUUAUUUCCUGCGAUUUCUGGUAGCUUCAAAUGUGGAAGGAUGUGAAAGAUUUUGUUGUAUCUUGUGACAUUUGUUCAAGAUCCAAAAAUCCUCAACAUCGGCCUUAUGGACUUCUACAGCCAUUGCCUAUUCCGCGCCGACCAUGGUCUUCGGUUUCCAUGGACUUUAUUACGGAUCUACUACCAUCGAAUUCAUUUGACAGUAUUUUUGUUGUCGUAGACCGGCUUACAAAGAUGGUGCAUUUUGUCCCUUGCAAGAAGACAUCGUCAAGCGAAGACAAUGCAAGACUCUUUCUUGAUAAUGCGUAUCGAUAUCAUGGUCUACCAGAUGAUAUCGUAUCGGAUCGAGGAACCUAGUUUGUAUCAAAGUUUUGGAAAUCUCUUUUUGAAAUAUUGAAGGUGGAUAUCAAGCUUUUUUCGGCAUUUCAUCCUGAAACGGACGGCCAAACAGAACGGGUGAAUCAAGUUUUAGAGCAAUAUUUACGUUGCACCAUCAACUAUCAAUAAGAUGAUUGGGUCGCAUAUCUAUCGCUAGCCGAGUUCGCAUAUAACAACACCCUUCAUGCGUCAACUCAACAAACGCCAUUCUUUUCUAAUUAUGGAUACCAUUCGAAGCUUGACUUAUGGAGUUCGUCAACGAUUAACAAUCCGGCAGCUGAAGGAUUGGUGAAGGAGCUUUCGCAGCUUCAAACUACAUUGAAGCUUCAAUUGCAAACUACCCAAGAAUCUUACAAGGCGUCCGUGGAAAAAUUUCGGAAUUAGGCACUUAAAUUCACGAUUGGAGACAAAGUUUGGCUGCUUCGAUGAAAUAUUAAGACCAAGCGGUCAUGUGACAAAUUGGACUAUCGGAGAUUGGGACCAUUUAUUAUCUAGAAGCAGAUUAAUCCUGUAGCGUAUCGUCUGGAGUUACCGGCUACUAUGAAGAUAUAUCCUGUCUUUCAUGUUUCUUUGUUGGAGCCUUAUCGAGAAUCGUCUUUUCCUGGAAGAGUACAAUGUCCACCACCUAGCAUAGAAAUAGAGAACCACGAAGAAUACGAGGUGGAAAAGGUCCUUGAUUCACGGCAAAGAUGGGGUAAAUUAGAAUACUUUGUGCAUUGGAGCGGUUACGAUAUUAAUGAACGAACAUGGGAGCCGGCCAAAAAUCUCGCGAAUGCGCCGCAAAAGGUACAGGAGUUUCAUCGACGAUAUCCUGAGAAACCCAAGCCGGUUCGACGAUAGCUUCUUACUGAAGCUUGCUCAUCCAGAAAACAGAAAAGAGGACAGAGCACCACCAAAAUCCAUAGUUGAUGUAGUCAUUCUCUCCAAGAUAGCGUAGAACUUUGUUAGUAGCCCAAGUUUGUUCUUAUUGUUUUAGCUUUUGAAUAUGGAUAGCCAAGAUACUACACUUGUCAUGUCAUCUCAAGCAACUAGCUCACGAAGACGACCGCGAGAUGAAGAACCGCUUGCACCACGACGACGUCGAAGGAUUCCGAGCAACAGAUCGCUGGUGAUUGUAUUUGAGGUCGAGCCUGCCUACAAUGGUCAGCCAGAAGGAUUGUUUGCAGGACAAUUUCACAAUGAAGACACGGAGAUUCAUGCUUGGUCAGAAGUUGAAGGCGUGGGCCACUACCGUUGGCUUCAAGGACCAUUGAAUCACUUGCCUCGUGAACAACAAUUGGAGUUCAUAGCAGAGGUUAUGCGACAGAUCUUCAUUUUCUUGCGUUGGUAUUGACUGACGAUAACAUUGCUUCUCGGAGACCUCGAAGCUAAAGGAUGAGGUGAUGUUAGGGACAUAGUCCUUAGACCUUUUUAGAGACAAGUUUCUAGAACUUUCUAGAAAGAAGUCUCUAGAAACUUCCAAAAGAUUCCUUGAAUAUUCUCUUAGAAUAUUCUUUAAAGAUUUCCUAAAGAUUCUUUGAAGAUUCCCUAAAGAUUCCCUUAGAAGGCUCUAGAAGAUUCUUAGAAUAUUCUAAUAGAUUCUAGGAAGUUACUUGAGAAGCUUCCUAGCUCUUGGGUAGUUGCUCAAGAAGCUUCAUAGUUCUUGGGAAGCUUCUUGAUGCGCUUCCUUAGAACCAUAGGCCAGUAGUAUAUAUAAGAGUCGAGGCUGAAGAGUUCUUCAGUCUCGACAACACAUCUCUUGAAGCUCUAGCUCAAUUCUCUUGGCGUUGCUCUUGUACUCAUCUGAUAAUCUAGUUCUUGUCAUUUUUUCUUGAACUUCUUGUUUAGAUUUCUUGUUUGUAUUUUUAGUCCCUGACACAAGGAUAGAAGAGGGUCAUUAGGAAGUCUGGGGCUGACUUUUCUAAUGUCGGGCAAAGCCACACUCAACUUCUACCCCCCCACUCCUUUGCGUAUGAAUUCACUUGUCCUAUCUUACUUCUUUUAGAGUUUCCCUUAGGUAAGGUUCUAACUUUGAUAAGAUGGUUCGAAGGUUUAGACUUUUAAAUGGAGUCGGUUGUCCUUAGGUGAGGAUGUCAGUUUCCGUGGCUACACAAACCUUCGAGGUUUAUCCAUCCCUGCUUCAAGAAGCCGGCUAAAAGAUUUCGUUCUACAACUAAAUCGCACCUAAUUAAUCGUGCCUAACUAAUCCUAGUUGAUUGUACCCACUCAACCCACAUCACAUGCAUUCAAUCCAAAGAUCUUAUUAUGAUGAUAAUUUGAGGGAAAUUAUGAAGGUUUUAAUUGCCGAAGAUACCUGCAAGCCCACUUAGGUGUUCAAACUGCCGCAAUUAGCAGGAAACAAGCAAACAGCUACACAAUUGAGAAGAGCUUCCACGGAAAUCACUCCGUUGAAUUCCCUUCCCAAAUUGGUGCCAUACGAUACAGAUCCCACUGUGGGGCUACCCAAUCAUUAACUUAAUGGAAGGUGAAUUAUCCUUGGUAUCCAUUGGUAUCCCCCAUAGGUAUCAGCCUGGUAUCCCCCUUUUUCACCUUCCAAGAGCUAAGUUGGGCAUUAUCCACUAGGAAGAAAACGACACAAGACGGAACAAAAAACAAUUAAAAUUAUAAUUAUGUGAUCUACUCACCGUGAAGAGGAACGUACCUGGCUGCAACGCCAGCCAACCUGGCACAGUUAGUCGAAGUCUACACCAUAUUAUUCGAACCCUACUCGAUCCUACUCGAUCCUAUUGGCCAAUUUGUGAUUUAUUAACUUAAUUAUAGAGGGAAGAACUUACCUUAAGCAUCUCCAGCCAUCCCACCAUUAGGUAAAAAUUGUUCAUGAUAAUUAAUAUAAUUGGCCAAGUCUAAUCCGAUUGCGAGCCUUAGGCUGAGAUUCGUGAUUCAAGGUACGAAUUCCUUGAAUUUUAGUGGGGUUCGAUACUUAAUAUUAGGUUAAAUAACUAGGUCUAAUCGAAAUUCUUAAGUCGUCCUACUGCCAUAAGUUUAGGUUAAGUGAGCCUACCUCAUGCAGUGCUCCUUCCAUCAGGACCCUCACAUCUUGGGCACGUCCAAGCUCCACACCUCCAAGCCUCCUUUCAACCUGUUAAGAAUGAUAAUUACCUUCCAAACAACACCACAAUGUAAUAGUCCGCUCCCGGCAAACGCACCAAAAUAUCAACAGAAAUUAACCCCCCUUAGUGAAGAGGCUAAUUCUACUCAUAAGAUCCUAAUUAUAGUCCAACCUUGGAAUUUUAUAACUUAUGUUGAUUUCCUAGUUAAUUGCUUAAUUCAUUAAUCUAAUUUCUAUCUUUAUCCUUAUGUUUAUCUUGAUUUUUUUAUUUAUUUUUAUUUUUAUUUUUAUUUUUUUUGUAGUUUUUUUUACUUAAAUCCUUCACCAUUCUUGAACCCUGGAAUUACCCAAUUGUGUCGCUUAAUUAUCAUUUAAUUAUUAUUUAAAUAUUUUUUAGUUUAUUUUAUUUAUUAUUUUUUUUUAAAUUCAUUUUUUUUUUAUUUUUAUUUUAUUAUUAUUAUUAUUUUUUUUUAUUUUAAUUUUUGGAUUAACCUUCCAACUUCAGUUGACUAUAUCCUUGCGAGUUUACGUCCGAAUUUAAAGUUUUUUACGUCUAAUGUUAUUAAAUUCAAUAAUCAACUUGAUGGGACAGCAUGCCUUCACUUCAUGCCUCAUGUUCAAUGUCAACUAGACUGUGAGCACUCAACUUCCAAGGAGGAUACAUUCAGAUUCAAGACCAUACAACUACCAAGAUUGCAUGGAAUUCAUGACUUGUCACGCAAGGGGAGAUCCAAGGAUUUUGACCUAAUCCUAAGCAAUUUGGCCAGCGCUUCCGCGUCAAUCGGAAAUUCCGGUUCUGGCACUACAACUCCUAGCAGCUCAACUGUGCAUCACCAA